CAGCAUAUUCAGAUUCAAAGAAAUGUGCAGCUGUGUUGAAUAAUUUAAAAAAUGUGCAACCUGAAUAUUGCUGGUAUUGAUUAUGAUUAAUAUUUUCUCUUUAUUCCAGUUUUCCAGCCACUCUGUGAGCUUCAAUUUCUGUCAGCAUGAAGUUCAUCCAUCAGUUUUUUGUAGUUUUUCUGUGACUGACCUACAGAAACCUGACAGGAAGUUUGAGGAUUUUCCUAAUGAAGAAUCUCUGCUGAAAGUCAAAACGUCAGUUUUCCCCCUCAGCUGUUCAUGAGCCUCUCAGGUCACUUCAUGUUUCCAGUUGUUUCAUGAAGGUCCAGACGCUGCAGCUCCAUGUUUAGUGAUAUUCACCAUUCAGCAGGAGGAAACUCCCCUGCCACUUCACGCUGCACCAGCCUCCUCCAGAUCUCUCACAGCCAUCUCAUCUGUUUCCCACCCUACUUUCAUCUGAGUUUCACACCUGCUGAUCCAUGCUGUAUUUCCAGGCGCGGCUUCAGCGUUCAGAGGGUUCAGGUUCUGAAACGUUCAGCAGAGUUUAUCGUCUGUUUCUGCUCAGACUGAGGAGGAAACCUGGAGAAACGUUCAUGAGGAGAGAUUAUUAUUCAGCCAGUUAACAAUGAGAAAAGAUUUAUCUCCAGUUAAGUUUUCAUGUUUGAUCUCAUUAAAACAAACUUCAAAGCA